rnacentral:rRNA from 1 species
UACGGGGGGAGCAAACGUUGUUCGGAAUCACUGGGCGUAAAGGGCGCGUAGGCGGCUAGGUAAGUGGAGUGUUAAAUCUCCCGGCUCAACCGGGAACAUGCACUUCAUACUGCUUGGCUUGAGUAUAGGAGAGGAGACUGGAAUUCCCGGUGUAGCGGUGAAAUGCGCAGAUAUCAGGAAGAACACCCGUGGCGAAAGCGGCUCUCUGGAACGGUACUGACGCUGAGACGCGAAAGCGUGGGGAGCGAACAGG